rnacentral:rRNA from 1 species
GUGCCUCCGGGACGCAGCAGUGGGGAAUAUUGCACAAUGGGGGAAACCCUGAUGCAGCAACGCCGCGUGAGUGAAGAAGUAUUUCGGUAUGUAAAGCUCUAUCAGCAGGGAAGAAGAAAGACGGUACCUGACUAAGAAGCCCCGGCUAACUACGUGCCAGCAGCCGCGGUAAUACGUAGGGAGCAAGCGUUAUCCGGAUUUACUGGGUGUAAAGGGCGUGUAGGCGGGCAUGCAAGCCAGAAGUGAAAUCUGGGGGCUUAACCCCCAAACUGCUUUUGGAACUGCGUGUCUU